rnacentral:misc_RNA from 1 species
GAGAAACAGGAGAGAGAAAGCAAUGGAAACUCCCAAGCAGAAGGAGCAACAGCAGAAGAAGCCGGCAAUGCAGAGAGCCGGAGAAGAAGAGGUUUACAUCGGAUCCAUCGACCAAGGCACGACCAGCACCCGCUUCCUCAUCUACGAUCGCGACGGCAACACCAUCGCCUCCCACCAAGUCGAGUUCACCCAGUUUUACCCCGAAGCCGGAUGGGUCGAGCACGAUCCGGCGGAGAUCUUGGAGAGCGUCAAGGUUUGUACGGCGAAGGCGCUUGAUAAGGCUACUGCGGGUGGGUAUAAUGUUGACGGAGGGCUCAAGGCGAUCGGGUUGACAAACCAGAGGGAGACAUCGGUUAUCUGGAGCAAGUCGACUGGAGUUCCCCUCUAUAAUGCCAUUGUUUGGAUGGACGUCCGUACAAGCUCAAUUUGCAGGAGACUAGAGGAACAGCUCUCUGGCGGAAGGACCCAUUUUGUGGAGAGAUGCGGCUUGCCCAUCAGCACCUACUUCAGUGCCCUGAAGAUCUUGUGGUUAAUGGAAAAUGUUGAUGCUGUCAAGGAUGCCAUACGAUCAGGUGAUGCUCUUUUCGGCACCAUCGACUCAUGGUUAAUCUGGAACCUAACUGGAGGUUGUGGUGGGGUGGA